CUACGGAGGGUGCAAACGUUGUUCGGAAUUACUGGGCGUAAAGCGCGCGUAGGCGGUUUGUUAAGUCAGAUGUGAAAGUCCACCGCUCAACUGUGGAAGUGCAUUUGAAACUGGCAGACUUGAGUACUGGAGGGGGUGGUGGAAUUCCCGGUGUAGAGGUGAAAUUCGUAGAUAUCGGGAGGAAUACCGGUGGCGAAGGCGACCACCUGGCCAGAUACUGACGCUGAGGUGCGAAAGCGUGGGGAGCAAACAGGAUUAGAAACCCUAGUAGUCC
rnacentral:rRNA from 1 species